AUGGCUACGCUGGGGCCCAACACUGUGGCCCACCUGCUUUUCAGUCCACCAUCAACAAGAACAACCAGAGGUAUGAAGAUAAGGCAAAGAAACACCUGGAACGCUGUGACCUCCAGAGUCAAGCUGGCCUCAGAUCGAGGUGUGAGAGAGCCCGAGAGGGGGCUCAGUCUGGGCUCCCCGCUGAGUCGGCCCCAGGGCUAGAAACACAAGGACCUGCCUUCUAACCAGCCGGUCCUGGACCAGCUCUUCUCCUCCCAACUCCAGAAGAAGAGAAGCCCCAGGCCCAAGCCCUCACAACCCCUGCCGUUCAGUGUGGUUGCCCUCAGGCAGCGGCUUAAUCGCCUUUCGUCCCAGAGCGUCCCAAGACUUCGGGGCCUCAGGCUUGUAAACGGCUUGGCCUCUCAAAGCGCCUGGGUCGUUUUAUUUGGUAGAAAGCUCAUGUUGUUAAAUCUGCUUCGGGUGGAGGAGGCCUUGCUGUUUAGGAGACUUCUGCAGAAUAAUAUACUUCCCGCAGCGAUCCUGAAGAACCCUAUACAGUUAACAGAUGGGUGACAUAUCACUCCAAUUUCUCACCUGACAGAAAAAGGGGAACAUUGAGACGAUCUUGCUCUCAGCUCAUAAGUUCAGAGCGAUUUCAUGGCGCAUUCUAUAAUCUGGUCAUUAUGUAGCACCCCUUAUGUAUCUAGUUACACUUCAUUUCACAGUUUGCUAUUUACCUGAUAUACUUAUAAAUAAAACUGUGUAGUUUUUCAAUAAUUACAUACUAAUUCAUUUUUGGAUUACUGUGAGAUUCAUUGAAACGAGUACUACAAUGUCCCAUUUGGUAUCAGGUACAGAUUUGGUAUCCUUGAUUAAUAUGUUCUUGUGUUUUUCUAGUUUCCGAGUGGGUGUACUCAGGUUCUCUGGAACAUGGAGAAGGGAAGUCCUGAGAUGAGUGGAGUGGCCUUCUCUGAUCCCAGGCUUGUGGCCAACGGGUUUCAAAUCCGACUCACUCCAGGUAGGGUAGAAUAUGAAAUUAAUAGAUCGCGCCAUUGUGGUAGGUAAAUUGACAAAUGUAAUCUUGAGUUGAAAAAGACAAAUGUAAAACCUUCACAACAUUAGGGGACCCAGCACUGAUCCCUAAGGAACACCUUUUGUUUGGAUGUUUGGUGAGGAGAUCGACCCUCUCCGUGUUAUCUGGCUAAGCGAUCGACAAGAGCGGAUGCAAAUAAUUUGUUUGAGCAAAACAAACUGAGUUUGAACCUUUUGAGGGUUUCCAGACAGUAAUUAGCUUGAAGAAACAUGACUUUUCUUUGCACAAGCUGACAUUUUUAGCAAAUCCCCUUAUUAACACUUAUGAUGAUGACAUUGUGAGGAUAAAUUGCUUUAGAGGAAAACAUGUCAGCAUUUCCCUGGUCCUGGUGUUGCAGUUGAACAAGCAGUGAAAGUUCAUUGGCUUGUUAAAAAGGAUUUAAGCACUAGAAUAUUUCUCGCUCGUUCUCCUAGUAUGGUACUUUCAUCCAACUUACCUUCUUUAGCUGGUAAAUAAGACGGUACAGUUUACAGCCCACCCGUUCCUUCCGAGAGAAAAUAGGCCUUUAUUAUCGUUUGAUUCAAGCUGUUUAAAGGUCUCAAGGAUUGUCCAAUUCGAUUUAACAAAGGUUGGGCCCAUUGGAUCAUUAAUGUCAUAGUUCACAAAUAAUUUAGAAAUGUCAAACAUAAGAGCUGGAGUAACAGGAUUAUGGUCAAUUAUUUCUGACAGAGUUGCUAUGUCAGUAUUGGAUUAGCAGUGGGUGAGACAGAAAACAUAAAAUGUUCCUCCAAAAUGCUUCCACCAUACGCAACAUGUUAGAGUUGAUGAAGGGAUUUUUGUAUUCUCACAAGAAUCUUGUCUAGGUGCUGACUUGGGACCAAAUUCCCCCUGGUGAAAAGCGCUAAAUAGAUCCACCCCAUUAUUAUGAGUCGUAGUUGUAAUCCCUUGCCAUCAAUUACGGAAGGGGAAAAUUCAAGUUAAGAUUCAAAGGCCACAGAUUUGCCAUGUGUAUUAGCUUUUUGAUAGCGUUAUUUUUGGUCAAUAUGUGUGUACCGGUAUUCUUUUAUCUGGGCUUUAUUUGUAAAUCGUGAGGUGGCAAAAUUGAUCGUGAGUGGGGGGUGAACCGGGGGG
rnacentral:lncRNA from 13 species